GCUUCUUUAGCUCAGUUGGUACGAGCGUUCGACUGAAGAUUUCAGUUCUUCGCAUUUGGGACCCCCGUCCUAUCCGCUAUUCGAAAGGUCACCUGUUCGACCCAGGUAAGGAGCA